rnacentral:rRNA from 1 species
UGGGGAAUUUUGGACAAUGGGCGAAAGCCUGAUCCAGCAAUGCCGCGUGUGUGAAGAAGGCCUUCGGGUUGUAAAGCACUUUUGUCCGGAAAGAAAUCCUUGGCUCUAAUACAGUCGGGGAGUACGGGUACCGGAAGAAUAAGCACCGGCUAACUACGUGCCAGCAGCCGCGGUAAUACGUAGGGUGCAAGCGUUAAUCGGAAUUACUGGGCGUAAAGCGUGCGCAGGCGGUUUGCUAAGACCGAUGUGAAAUCCCCGGGCUCAACCUGGGAACUGCAUUGGUGACUGGCAGGCUAGAGUAUGGCAGAGGGGGGUAGAAUUCCACGUGUAGCAGUGAAAUGCGUAGAGAUGUGGAGGAAUACCGAUGGCGAAGGCAGCCCCCUGGGCCAAUACUGACGCUCAUGCACGAAAGCGUGGGGAGCAAACAGGAUUAGAUACCCUGGUAGUCCACGCCCUAAACGAUGUCAACUAGUUGUUGGGGAUUCAUUUCCUUAGUAACGUAGCUAACGCGUGAAGUUGACCGCCUGGGGAGUACGGUCGCAAGAUUAAAACUCAAAUGAAUUGACGGGGUCAUAGCUGUUUCCU